GGGUCAGUAGGUUGGUCGUGCCACCGGUACGUACUGGUCUCACUGAUUCCUCCUUCCUGAAGAACCAUAAUGCCAUUAAUUUGGUGCUGCGGGGAAACAGGACUGUUACUUUGAAAAAAUUAGAGUGUUUAAAGCAAGCUAACGCUUGAAUACAUUAGCAUGGAAUAAUGAAAUAGGACGAUCGAUCCUAUUUUGUUGGUUUCUAGGAUUGACGUA
rnacentral:rRNA from 1 species